UAUGGAGAGUUUGAUCCUGGCUCAGGAUGAACGCUGGCGGCGUGCCUAAUACAUGCAAGUCGAGCGAACGGACGAGAAGCUUGCUUCUCUGAUGUUAGCGGCGGACGGGUGAGUAACACGUGGAUAACCUACCUAUAAGACUGGGAUAACUUCGGGAAACCGGAGCUAAUACCGGAUAAUAUUUUGAACCGCAUGGUUCAAAAGUGAAAGACGGUCUUACUGUCACUUAUAGAUGGAUCCGCGCUGCAUUAGCUAGUUGGUAAGGUAACGGCUUACCAAGGCAACGAUGCAUAGCCGACCUGAGAGGGUGAUCGGCCACACUGGAACUGAGACACGGUCCAGACUCCUACGGGAGGCAGCAGUAGGGAAUCUUCCGCAAUGGGCGAAAGCCUGACGGAGCAACGCCGCGUGAGUGAUGAAGGUCUUCGGAUCGUAAAACUCUGUUAUUAGGGAAGAACAUAUGUGUAAGUAACUGUGCACAUCUUGACGGUACCUAAUCAGAAAGCCACGGCUAACUACGUGCCAGCAGCCGCGGUAAUACGUAGGUGGCAAGCGUUAUCCGGAAUUAUUGGGCGUAAAGCGCGCGUAGGCGGUUUUUUAAGUCUGAUGUGAAAGCCCACGGCUCAACCGUGGAGGGUCAUUGGAAACUGGAAAACUUGAGUGCAGAAGAGGAAAGUGGAAUUCCAUGUGUAGCGGUGAAAUGCGCAGAGAUAUGGAGGAACACCAGUGGCGAAGGCGACUUUCUGGUCUGUAACUGACGCUGAUGUGCGAAAGCGUGGGGAUCAAACAGGAUUAGAUACCCUGGUAGUCCACGCCGUAAACGAUGAGUGCUAAGUGUUAGGGGGUUUCCGCCCCUUAGUGCUGCAGCUAACGCAUUAAGCACUCCGCCUGGGGAGUACGACCGCAAGGUUGAAACUCAAAGGAAUUGACGGGGACCCGCACAAGCGGUGGAGCAUGUGGUUUAAUUCGAAGCAACGCGAAGAACCUUACCAAAUCUUGACAUCCUUUGACAACUCUAGAGAUAGAGCUUUCCCCUUCGGGGGACAAAGUGACAGGUGGUGCAUGGUUGUCGUCAGCUCGUGUCGUGAGAUGUUGGGUUAAGUCCCGCAACGAGCGCAACCCUUAAGCUUAGUUGCCAUCAUUAAGUUGGGCACUCUAAGUUGACUGCCGGUGACAAACCGGAGGAAGGUGGGGAUGACGUCAAAUCAUCAUGCCCCUUAUGAUUUGGGCUACACACGUGCUACAAUGGACAAUACAAAGGGCAGCGAAACCGCGAGGUCAAGCAAAUCCCAUAAAGUUGUUCUCAGUUCGGAUUGUAGUCUGCAACUCGACUACAUGAAGCUGGAAUCGCUAGUAAUCGUAGAUCAGCAUGCUACGGUGAAUACGUUCCCGGGUCUUGUACACACCGCCCGUCACACCACGAGAGUUUGUAACACCCGAAGCCGGUGGAGUAACCUUUUAGGAGCUAGCCGUCGAAGGUGGGACAAAUGAUUGGGGUGAAGUCGUAACAAGGUAGCCGUAUCGGAAGGUGCGGCUGGAUCACCUCCUU
rnacentral:rRNA from 1 species